rnacentral:rRNA from 1 species
UACGAAGGGGGCUAGCGUUGCUCGGAAUUACUGGGCGUAAAGAGCGCGCAGGCGGUCGUUCAAGUCGCGUGUGAAAGCCCCCCGGCUCAACUGGGGAGGGUCACGCGAUACUGAUCGACUCGAAGGCAGGAGAGGGUAGUGGAAUUCCCGGUGUAGUGGUGAAAUGCGUAGAUAUCGGGAGGAACACCAGUGGCGAAGGCGACUACCUGGCCUGUUUCUUGACGCUGAGGCGCGAAAGCUAGGGGAGCAAACGGG